GAUGAACGCUGGCGGCGUGCCUAACACAUGCAAGUCGAACGAGGUAUUUUGAUUGAAGUUUUCGGAUGGAUUUCAAGAUACCGAGUGGCGGACGGGUGAGUAACGCGUGGGUAACCUGCCUCAUACAGGGGGAUAACGGUUAGAAAUGACUGCUAAUACCACAUAAGCGCACAGUACCGCAUGGUACGGUGUGAAAAACUCCGGUGGUAUGAGAUGGACCCGCGUCUGAUUAGCUAGUUGGUGGGGUAACGGCCCACCAAGGCGACGAUCAGUAGCCGACCUGAGAGGGUGAUCGGCCACAUUGGGACUGAGACACGGCCCAGACUCCUACGGGAGGCAGCAGUGGGGGAUAUUGCACAAUGGAGGAAACUCUGAUGCAGCGACGCCGCGUGAGUGAAGAAGUAUUUCGGUAUGUAAAGCUCUAUCAGCAGGGAAGAAAAUGACGGUACCUGACUAAGAAGCCCCGGCUAACUACGUGCCAGCCGCCGCGGUAA
rnacentral:rRNA from 1 species